rnacentral:rRNA from 1 species
GACGAACGCUGGCGGCGUGCUUAACACAUGCAAGUCGAGCGGUAAGGCCCUUCGGGGUACACGAGCGGCGAACGGGCGAGUAACACGUGAGUAAUCUGCCCAUCACUUCGGGAUAACUCCGGGAAACCGGUGCUAAUACCGAAUAUGACCACUUCAGGCAUCUGAUGGUGGUGGAAAGUUCCGGCGGUGAUGGAUGAGCUCGCGGCCUAUCAGCUUGUUGGUGGGGUAGUGGCCUACCAAGGCUUCGACGGGUAGCCGGCCUGAGAGGGUGACCGGCCACACUGGGACUGAGACACGGCCCAGACUCCUACGGGAGGCAGCAGUGGGGAAUAUUGGACAAUGGGCGAAAGCCUGAUCCAGCAACGCCGCGUGAGGGAUGACGGCCUUCGGGUUGUAAACCUCUUUCAGCAGGGACGAAGCGCAAGUGACGGUACCUGCAGAAGAAGCACCGGCCAACUACGUG